rnacentral:rRNA from 1 species
ACGGAAGGCAGCAGUGGGGGAUAUUGCACAAUGGGCGAAAGCCUGAUGCAGCGACGCCGCGUGAGGGAAGACGGUUUUCGGAUUGUAAACCUCUGUCUUCGGGGACGAAAAUGACGGUACCCGAGGAGGAAGCCACGGCUAACUACGUGCCAGCAGCCGCGGUAAUACGUAGGUGGCAAGCGUUGUCCGGAAUUACUGGGUGUAAAGGGGGAGUAGGCGGGAUUGCAAGUCCGUUGUUAAAUCUAUCGGCUCAACCGAUAGCUGCGGCGGAAACUGUAGUUCUUGAGUGAAGUAGAGGCAGGCGGAAUUCCUAGUGUAGCGGUGAAAUGCGUAGAUAUUAGGAGGAACACCAGUGGCGAAGGCGGCCUGCUGGGCUUUAACUGACGCUGAGGCUCGAAAGUGUGGGGAGCAAACAGGAUUAGAUACCCUGGUA